UGUUGAAAAUUUCAUUCAUUUGUAAUGUUAAAAACUGAUGAAAUUGACAGAAUAACCAUAUAGUGAUAUAUGUCAUUCUAUAUACACAUCAUGUUGACAUAUAGGGACCAGUUUUUAAUAAUAAAAAUAGAUGACUUUUUUUGCA
rnacentral:pre_miRNA from 1 species